rnacentral:lncRNA from 1 species
CCGGGCCUGGCGGGUGGUGCGGUUGGGACGGUGAAUUGUUGCUGACUUUCCUCAGGCCCAGGACUUCAUCCCCUGCAGAUGUGAAGCUCCGGUUUCCGAGGGACGCAUGAGGAGAUGAGGUGCUCAGGUGCCUUUGCUGCUGGCCCAGGGCAGCACAGAGUUCUGCAAGGCAGGGAAGCCAGGAGCUGCCCAGGAAGCUCGGAAGCUCUGCUUGGAUAAGAGCGACUGCCUCAGGCCACUCCCUGCUGGGGAAGCCCCCCAUGGACUGUAGGCAUUUACCUGAGGCCCGCAAGGAGACCCUGAGCCCGGAGCCCGAGUCGCUGCCACCUCCAG